GAAAAAAAGGAAUUGUUAAUAAUUGACCCCUUGUGUGAUGAGAUGAGAUAUGAAAGAACAUGCCUGAGGAACUGGAGAAACUUCAUCAAACAAUUAACUAGAAAAUCCUCAUCUGAUUGGAAUAGUAAAAUUGUUCAGCAUCCCAGACAAAGUGAUGGCCACAACUGCGGACCACUCAUCUUAAAGAAACGUAUUUGCAGCACAAAGACAUCAGUACAGUAGAAACA